rnacentral:sRNA from 1 species
GAGACUAAGGCAGAAGAGAAGAGAUUGGAUGUCCUCUAAAAUUAGGCCACCUAAAUUGUAACAUAUAAUUUUAAUCAAGAGAAUAGUGGAGUACUUUAUUAGGACAUAAUGUGAAGUGAUAUUUCUGAAAACACAUUUCUUGAAAUAGUUUUAAAACUGAUAAUAAAGGAAAAGAAACUGUACUUAGUUCGGAGCAGUGGACAAAAGCUGAUUCAGAAAACAUAACCAUAUUCUGCCUAAAUGAAGCAUCUGGGAAGAAAGGGAAAGUCACACCUCCUCUUGAGAUUUUAACCAUUAUGAUAAAAGACAACAGCAGUUCUGUAGAGAGUUUAAAUAUGAAGGAAUGGCAGGACGGGCUAAGGGCACUUCUACCCAACAUUAACAUCAACUUUGGUGGACUGCCCAAUUCUUCCCCCUCCAACGCCAACCACAGUGCACCAACGUCCAACACUGCCACCACCGACAGCCUGAGUUGGGACAGCCCUGGCAGCUGGACAGACCCAGCCAUCAUCACAGGUAUUCCAGCGUCUUCAGGAAACAGUUUAGACUCUCUUCAAGAUGACAAUCCUCCACACUGGCUAAAAUCCCUUCAGGCCCUCACAGAGAUGGACGGCCCCAGCGCUGCUCCAUCACAGACCCACCACAGCGCCCCCUUCAGCACACAGAUCCCGCUGCACAGAGCCAGUUGGAAUCCCUACCCUCCU